rnacentral:rRNA from 1 species
AUACGGAGGAUCCAAGCGUUAUCCGGAUUCAUUGGGUUUAAAGGGUGCGCAGGCGGGAUAAUAAGUCAGUGGUGAAAGCCUGCAGCUUAAAUGUAAAACUGCCGUUGAAACUGUCAUUCUUGAGUACAGUCUAGGAUGGCGGAAUGUAUUGUGUAGCGGUGAAAUGCUUAGAUAUAAUACAGAACACCGAUUGCGAAGGCAGCUUACCGGGCUGUAACUGACGCUCAGGCACGAAAGCGUGGGGAUCAAACAGGAUUAGAUACCCUGGUAGUCCACGCAGUAAACGAUGAUUACUAGCUGUUUGCGAUACAAUGUAAGCGGCUGAGCGAAAGCGUUAAGUAAUCCACCUGGGGAGUACGUUCGCAAGAAUGAAACUCAAAUGAAUUGACGGGG